GAUGAACGCUGGCGGUCUGCUUAACACAUGCAAGUCGAACGGGUACUUCGGUACUAGUGGCGGACGGGUGAGUAACGCGUGAGAAUCUAGCUUCAGAAUGGGGACAACAGAGGGAAACCGCUGCUAAUACCCGAUGUGCCGAAAGGUGAAAGAUUUAUCGUCUGAAGAUGAGCUCGCGUCCGAUCAGCUAGUUGGUAGGGUAAAAGCCUACCAAGGCGACGAUCGGUAGCUGGUCUGAGAGGAUGACCAGCCACACUGGGACUGAGACACGGCCCAGACUCCUACGGGAGGCAGCAGUGGGGAAUUUUCCGCAAUGGGCGAAAGCCUGACGGAGCAAGACCGCGUGAGGGAGGAAGGCUCUUGGGUUGUAAACCUCUUUUCUCUGGGAAGAAGCUCUGACGGUACCAGAGGAAUCAGCAUCGGCUAACUCCGUGCCAGCAGCCGCGGUAAUACGGAGGAUGCAAGCGUUAUCCGGAAUUAUUGGGCGUAAAGCGUCCGUAGGUGGCAAUUCAAGUCUGCCGUUAAAACCAGUGGCUUAACUACUGAGGGGCGGUGGAAACUGAAUAGCUAGAGUGUGGUAGGGGUAGAGGGAAUUCCCAGUGUAGCGGUGAAAUGCGUAGAGAUUGGGAAGAACACCGGUGGCGAAAGCGCUCUGCUGGACCACAACUGACACUCACAGGACGAAAGCUAGGGGAGCGAAAGGGAUUAGAUACCCCUGUAGUCCUAGCCGUAAA
rnacentral:rRNA from 1 species